GUCCUGGCCCUAAAACGAUGAAUGCUUGGUGUGGCGGGUAUCGAUCCCUGCCGUGCCGAAGCUAACGCAUUAAGCAUUCCGCCUGGGGAGUACGGUCACAAGGCUGAAACUCAAAGGAAUUGACGGGGGCCCGCACAAGCGGUGGAGCAUGUGGUUUAAUUCGACGCAACGCGAAGAACCUUACCCAGGCUUGAACUGCAGGUGACAUUCUACGAAAGUAGACUUCCGCAAGGACGCCUGUAGAGGUGCUGCAUGGCUGUCGU
rnacentral:rRNA from 1 species